AGAGUACGUGAAACCGUUUAGGGGUAAACCUGAGAAACCCGAAAAGUCGAAGGGAGAAAUUCACCGCGGUUCGACGAAGGUGACGUUUCGACGCGUGACUGCGCUCUUCGGACGCGCGGCGCCGUCGAUUCGUUUUUUUAUCGACGACGAACGCGUGCACUUUUCUCCCGGUAGGACGUCGCGAUCCGUUGGGCGUCGGUCUACGGCUGACGGUGGAGACCGCGAGUCGUUUUUCGGAACGUACGCGCGGACCCGUUUGCACCCCGACCGACUCGCUCGACGGUAUACGAACGGUUUGGGGCCGCUUUUAAAGCGUCCGGCCUCGCGGCUUUCGAGCCGCGACGUUCUCGGACAGACCCUAAUCAAAAAACCGAUCUGCGACGCUAUAGCUUUGGGUACUUUCAGG
rnacentral:rRNA from 1 species